AAAACGUAUGAGGAAGAAAAUAGCAGAUGAGAAGAAUCAACCAAAUUCCGGAAGCUGGAAAACAGAUGCAAGAAGGCCCUUGAAUGAUGCCAGCACCUUGAUAUUGGACUUCCUAGCCUCCAGAACCAUAAGCCAAUACAUUUCUGUUCCAUAAAAAUUACCCAGUUCCAGGUAUUCUGCUAUAGCAGCACAAAAUGGACUAAAACAAUGUUGGCACAAGACUCAGUGCUGGGCCUGGCAUACAACAAGUCCUUGGAGUGGCGUGCUGUGUGGAUAAUGAAUGUUGGGGAAGGCGUCUCUCUCCAGCCCCUCUCAAGCUUUCUGUAGUCGCUGAUUCACUCUGUAUUGCUAUGAAGAAGCUCAAGACCAGCCUGUAUCACUCGGGGUCCGGGCAGGAACCAGGUGCCACACUCAAACUGAGUAAUUGAAGAGGGUUUAAUAUGGGAGUUAUUUACAAAGGUGUGGGCUGGUGUAGCUGACCAUAUGCCCUCAAAAUCACUUCUACAUGGCAAUAGCUACUUACUGCUAACACAGUCUCUCUCUCAUUGCUGCAAAUAUUUUCUAGCCAUGCAAGAAACUCAGCCAGUUAUGUUGAACAAAGUAAGAGUGCCAGGAAGUUAAUGUCCUGGAAGCAUUGCCAGAGGGGAGGGGGCGGAUAGAUUCCCCAGCUUCCUCGCUCCUCAGCUGAGUUAAGCCUGCGACAUACUCAUCAUCUCCCAGAGUACUACUGCCCAGGGAUAGAGCUCCAGGUGCUCAGCGUGGUGACCUGCUCAUGUCAGCUUCUUCCCCUUUCCUGUCUUGUUUCGCACCCACAUCCUUCCCAUGUUUCCUCUUCCCAAAUAAACUAUUUGCAUUGAAA
rnacentral:lncRNA from 1 species